rnacentral:rRNA from 1 species
CCUACGGGGGGCUGCAGUGGGGAAUUUUCCGCAAUGGGCGAAAGCCUGACGGAGCAAUACCGCGUGAGGGAGGAAGGCUCUUGGGUUGUAAACCUCUUUUCUUAGGGAAGAAAGCAAUGACGGUACCUAAGGAAUCAGCAUCGGCUAACUCCGUGCCAGCAGCCGCGGUAAUACGGAGGAUGCAAGCGUUAUCCGGAAUGAUUGGGCGUAAAGCGUCCGCAGGUGGCACUUCAAGUCGAUUGUUAAAGCUCUUGGCUCAACCAAGAAAGAGCAGU